GAGAGGGUUUGACUUGACUGCUACUCUAGUAACCCAAGUUUAAUCGCUUGGCCCUCUCC
rnacentral:tRNA from 1 species